rnacentral:tRNA from 1 species
UCCCUGAUAGCUCAGCUCGUAAAGAAUCUGCCUGCAAUGCAGGAUACCCCAGGUCGAUUCCUGGCUUGGGAA